GACGAACGCUGGCGGCGUGCCUAAUGCAUGCAAGUCGAGCGGGCUACAGUCUUCGGAUUGUAGCUUAGCGGCGAACGGGUGAGUAACACGUAGGUAAUCUACCCUUCAGAGGAGGACAACCUCAGGAAACUGAGGCUAAACCUUCAUACGUUCACUGGUAGGGAUACUGGUGAAGAAAGAGUUACCGUUGAGGUGGCUGCUGAAGGAUGAGCCUGCGGCCCAUCAGGUAGUUGGUGAGGUAACGGCUCACCAAGCCGAAGACGGGUAACCGGUCUGAGAGGAUGUCCGGUCACACUGGGACUGAGACACGGCCCAGACUCCUACGGGAGGCAGCAGCAGGGAAUCUUGGGCAAUGGGCGAAAGCCUGACCCAGCGACGCCGCGUGGAGGAAGAAGUCCUUCGGGGCGUAAACUCCUGGACUGGGGGACGAGUAAGGACGGUACCCCAGUAGAAAGGGACGGCUAACUACGUG
rnacentral:rRNA from 1 species